AACCAGGGGCGAACGGACCACAGAGAUCCGGAGCGAGUGGAGAUCGUAUCAAGAAGCCACCAAGAAACCACUCUUGGACAACCUUUGUUAUAGACAUCGGCCACACUUUCUUCCCCCACCGGAGGUUGAGCCUGGCAGAGGCCCAGCAAGAGCAGGAGGAGGCUGAGACAGGUCUUCAUCUUCUGGGUCUGUCUGGUUGUUUCUGGACACUGGCACCGGAGCUUCUCUGGACGUCUUCAACGGAGAGACUCCUUAAGGCUGAUGCAGCUUCGAGGUGCGGAGCAAUUCCUUGGUUGCAAGGAAUUCCGUUCCUACACGGACACUUUAUAAGGUCGCACCCGCCAACGAACUCUGUAGCUGCUGCUGUGUAGUUGCUGACUCUGGCUUCGGCGAUUCGUUUAGAAUAUCUUCUUCAUCUGUUUCUUUUCAACACCGUCGAACAUCUUAAGAAGUGACAAUGACCGACCGCUACAACAUCCACAGUCAGCUGGAGCAUCUGCAGUCCAAGUACAUCGGGACGGGUCACGCAGACACCAGCAAGUGGGAGUGGUUGGUGAACCAGCACAGGGACUCCUACUGCUCCUACAUGGGACACUUUGAUCUGCUCAACUACUUCUCCAUCGCUGAGAACGAGAGCAAGGCGCGGGUCCGCUUCAAUCUGAUGGAGAAGAUGCUGCAGCCAUGCGGUCCGCCGACAGACAAGCCAGACGAUGCUUAGAAGAGAAUACAUUUAGACAACAAUAUAAUUUCGGUGAAAUUAUUCCAUCUACUGUUUGUGUAUUGGACUGAGACGACGUCAAGGGAAAAUCCAUAAACAUCCAUCUGGAUCCGGUCUCUAGGAUGUAGUUGGUGUGUUGAAAAUAUGACGUGGAUGUGAUGGGGUGAGGUUCAGACUAUGCAAACAAAAUGAUGGUAAUAGGUUUUCUUUCAUCACAUACAAAAAAGACAACUUUUUAUUUUAUUUUGUAUUGAUGUGUUUUCAUGUUUUAUAUUCAAAUGUAACGUUUUUCAUUGAACAUGAUUUGUCUCCGGAUGAAAUGUGGCAACCUUUUACAUUGGCCAUUGGUAUCCCUGUACUUAAUUUGGUCAUAUUUAUAAAUAAACAAUUAUAAAUACUAUUCGAUUUU